rnacentral:rRNA from 1 species
UACGAAGGGGGCUAGCGUUGCUCGGAAUUACUGGGCGUAAAGCGCACGUAGGCGGCUUCUUAAGUCGGUGGUGAAAUCCUGGAGCUCAACUCCAGGACUGCCUUCGAUACUGGGAAGCUCGAGUUCGGGAGAGGUGAGUGGAACUGCGAGUGUAGAGGUGAAAUUCGUAGAUAUUCGCAAGAACACCAGUGGCGAAGGCGGCUCACUGGCCCGAUACUGACGCUGAGGCACGAAAGCGUGGGGAGCAAACAGG